rnacentral:rRNA from 1 species
CUGGGAGCUCGACUCCCCUGAAGGGCCCUCGAAGACUACGAGGUUGAUAGGCUGGGUGUGUAAGCGCAGUAAUGCGUUGAGCUAACCAGUACUAAUUGCCCGUGAGGCUUGACCAUAUAACCUCAAGCAGU